rnacentral:rRNA from 1 species
UGCAAUUAUCUCAUUAUUAACUCUCAUAACAUGAAAGUUCUUGACACAAUGAAGAAUAAAGGACAUUCUGCAGGAGUGGCGGUGUCAGUUUUUGAUUAUUGCUAUUUUAUGGCUUGUGAUUUUCCUCUUACUGGUUUUGAACAUUGUAAUAGAGAACCGAAUAAAGUAGCUCGUGAACUUGCUAGGUUAGCGAAAUGUUCUGUCGGAGCCUAUGAAAAAUAUUGCACCUCUUCUUAUAGACGAUGUAACCAUUGUUUCUAA